rnacentral:rRNA from 1 species
AUGGCGGACGGGGGAAAGAUGAAGGGCGUGGAGGGAAGCGGCGAGGGUACCGGGCAUGGUGAAGAUAUGGACGAGGAGGCGCAGGAGGAGCUGGAGCUCGCACUGUCUCUGGGGCGCCGGGGUUGGCAUCUGCCGCCAGUGCCGGUGCCGCCGCCGGCACCCGCCUUGAGAUGGUCGAUGGUCUUCCCGGCAUGGGACCCUGACGCUGCCGGGAGUUCGCGUGCUGCUGAGAGCGUUUGGGAUUCACCUCCUGUCCCGCCACUCAGGUUCCGUGACAUGUGGCGAGGUGGUGGCGCAGACGCUGAUGCAGGAGGCGCUCGCGAGGCUGAGGAGCACAACAAUGUCGAGGAAGAGGAAGGGAGUGAGGAUGGAGAUCGGGACCUGCAGAAUAAACGUCCUAAAGUGGGUGCUUUUGGCGAAGAAAGCUCUGGUGUUAAUGCAUCCUUCUUUGGAUAUGAAGCACCACAUUUGCAUGCUUUUGCUGAACAUGACCAUUUGAAGCUGUCACAUGGUCCAGAAAAUGAAUUGGAUUUUGGUUUGUCGCUUAUCUCAAAUGAUGGUGGGAAUGAUAUUCCAAGGGAGACCAACAGUCAUGGUGUCUGUGAUGUAGAAAGAUCAGGUGGAACAAAUGCAGAAGAUCUUGAAAUAAGAAUGGACCUAUCUGAUGAUCUCUUGCACCUGAUAUUCUCCUUCUUAUGCCAGAAGGAUUUAUGUAGAGCAGGGGCUGCCUGCAAACAGUGGCAGUCUGCUAGUAUGCAUGAGGAUUUCUGGAAAUAUUUGAAGUUUGAGAACACCAGAAUAUCUCUGCAGAACUUUGUUAAUAUUUGCCACCGUUAUCAGAAUGUGACAAAUCUCAAUUUGUCUGGUGUCUUAAGUGCAGAAAGCCUAGUGAUUGAAGCAAUAACAUUCUUAAGGCAUCUUAAGACCUUGAUAAUGGGCAAGGGACAACUGGGAGAAACAUUUUUUCAGGCUUUGGCUGAAUGCCCAUUGUUAAAUACUUUAACAGUCAGUGAUGCAUCCCUUGGUAGUGGCAUUCAAGAGGUAACUGUUAAUCAUGAUGGAUUGCAUGAACUUCAAAUUGUGAAGUGUCGUGCACUCAGAGUAUCUAUCAGAUGCCACCAACUUCGAAUACUGUCUCUGAGGAGAACUGGCAUGGCUCAUGUAUCACUCAAUUGUCCUCAGUUGCUUGAAUUGGAUUUUCAGUCCUGCCAUAAGCUUUCUGACACUGCAAUUCGUCAAGCAGCGACAGCCUGUCCACUGUUAGCGUCACUAGAUAUGUCAUCCUGCUCGUGUGUUACUGAUGAGACAUUGCGUGAGAUAGCUAAUGCAUGUCAAAAUCUUUCUGUUCUUGAUGCAUCUAACUGCCCCAACAUUUCUUUCGAGUCGGUAAAGCUUCCAAUGUUGGUAGACUUGAGACUAUCAAGUUGUGAGGGAAUCACAUCUGCUUCAAUGGGUGCAGUAUGUUUUAGUCGUAUACUUGAGGCGUUGCAACUUGAUAAUUGUAGCCUGUUGACAUCUGUGUCUUUGGAUCUGCCACAUCUCAAGAAUAUUAGUCUUGUACACCUCCGCAAGUUUGCUGAUUUAAAUCUGCGAAGCCCUGUGCUUUCUUACAUAAAAGUUUCCAGAUGCUCAGCACUUCGUUGUGUUACCAUAACAUCAAAUGCUCUUAAGAAACUGGUGCUUCAAAAACAAGAGAGCCUAUGUAAUUUAUCAUUGCAAUGCCACAAUUUAAUUGAUGUUGAUCUUAGUGAUUGCGAGUCAUUGACAAAUGAGAUCUGCAAAGUUCUCAGUGACGGAGGGGGUUGCCCCAUGCUCAGGUCAUUAAUUCUUGAUAAUUGUGAGAGUUUGAGUGUCGUGGAACUGAAUAAUAGUUCUUUGGUUAAUCUCUCACUUGCUGGUUGCCGUUCCAUGACAUUCCUGAAACUUGCAUGCCCAAAGCUUCAAGUGGUGAUUCUUGAUGGUUGUGAUCAUCUUGAAAGAGCAUCAUUUUGCCCGGUUGGUCUUGAAUCCCUAAACCUUGGAAUUUGUCCAAAGUUGAGUGUUCUACGCAUAGAGGCCCCAAAUAUGUCUAUAUUGGAGCUGAAGGGCUGUGGUGUCCUUUCUGAGGCUUCAAUUAAUUGUCCUUGCUUGAUAUCUUUAGAUGCCUCUUUCUGCAGACAGUUUAUGGAUGAUUCGCUGUCCCAAACAGCAGAAGCAUGCCCUCUUAUUGAACAUCUUAUAUUGUCUUCAUGUUUAUCCAUUGACGUCCGUGGAUUGUCUUCUCUGCAUUGCCUUCAGAAGCUGGCCUUGCUUGACCUAUCAUAUACAUUUUUGAUGAACUUGAAGCCGGUUUUUGACAGUUGUCUGCAGUUGAAGGUCUUGAAACUUUCAGCUUGCAAGUAUCUCAGUGAUUCAUCUUUGGAACCACUCUACAGAGAGGGUGCUCUACCGAUGCUCGUUGAGCUAGAUCUGUCCUACUCGUCCAUUGGGCAGACUGCAAUAGAAGAGCUUCUCGCGUGCUGUACAAAUUUGGUUAAUGUGAACCUAAACGGAUGUACGAACUUGCAUGAAUUGGUAUGUGGAUCAGACUAUUGCCGGUCCGGUGACAUGCCAAUUGAUGCUUUCCCCCCUGAUUCUGCACCAGACAAGACCAAAGAGAUCAGGGAGAGUUCGGAUUGUCAGCUUGAAGUUCUCAGUUGUACUGGCUGUCCAAAUAUUAAGAAAGUUGUUAUUCCUUCAACGGCCAACUAUCUGAAUUUGUCUAAGAUCAACCUUAAUUUGUCUGCAAACUUGAAGGAAGUAGAUUUGAAGUGCUCCAAUCUUUACAAUUUAAAUUUGAGCAAUUGUAACUCACUGGAGAUUCUGAAGCUUGAUUGCCCAAGAUUGGCUAACCUCCAACUUUUGGCAUGCACAAUGUUGCAAGAGGAUGAACUGAAAUCUGCACUAUCCUUUUGCGGUGCAUUGGAGAUCCUCAAUGUGCACUCUUGUCCACAAAUAAACACGCUGGAUUUUGGCAGGCUACAGGCUGUUUGCCCAACUCUUAAGCGCAUCCAGAGCAGCCCCAUCGCAUAG